UUGGGGUGUUAAGGCUUCCUUUAGGUAAUACCCGGGUAAUAGGUUAUGGGGCUAGGGUAAGGUUUAAGGUUUUUGGCGUUAGGGUUAAAAUCACAGUCCAAAACCUUUGUUGGAACAAGUUUCAGACCUUCUGGAGUUAGUUACACCAAAAAAAAAGGAAAAUGAAAAAAAAAUUUUGGGGGUGUUCGGGUUUCCUGAAGGUAAUACCCGGGUAUUAGGUUAUGGGGCUUGGGUAAGGUUUAAGGUUUAAGGUUUUUGGCGUUAGGGUUAAAAUCACUGUCCAAAACCUUUGUUGGAACAAGUUUAAACCUUUUGGAGUUAGUUACACCAAAAAAAAAGGAAAAUGAAAAAAAAAUUUUGGGGGUGUUCGGGUUUCCUGAAGGUAAUACCCGGGUAUUAGGUUUUGGGGCUAGGGUAAGGUUUAAGGUUUUUGGCGUUAGGGUUAAAAUCACUGUCCAAAACCUUUGUAGGAACAAGUUUCAAACCUUUUGGAGUUAGUUAGACCAAAAAAAAUGAAAAAUGAAAAAAAAAAUGUUUGGGGUGUUAAGGCUUCCUUUAGGUAAUACCCGGGAAUUAGGUUAUGGGGCUAGGGUAAGUUUUAAGGUUUUUGGCGUAAGGGUUAAAAUGACUGUCCAAAACCUUUGUUGGAACAAGUUUCAAACCUUUUAGAGUUAGUUAGACCAAAAAAAAAAUGAAAAAUGAAAAAAAAAAUGUUUGGGGUGUUAAGGCUUCCUUUAGGUAAUACCCGGGUAUUAGGUUAUGGGGCUUUGGAAAGGUUUAAGGUUUUUGGUGUUAGGGUUAAAAUCACUGUCCAAAACCUUUGUAGGAACUCUUUUCCAACCUUUUGGAGUUAGUUAAACCAAAAAAAAGUGAAAAAUGAAAAAAAAAUGUUUGGGGUGUUCGGGCUUCCUGAAGGUAGUAUUAGGUAAUGGGGCUAGGGAAAGGUUUAAGAUUUUUGGCAUUAGGGUAAAAAUCACUGUCCAAAACCUUUGUAGGAACUCUUUUCAAACCUUUUGGAGUUAGUUAGACAAAAAAAAAAAAAAUGAAAAAUGAAAAAAAAAAAAAAUGUUUGGGGUGUUCGGGCUUCCUUAAGGUAAUACCCGGGUAUUAGGUUAUGGGGCUAGGGUAAGGUUUAAGGUUUUUGGCGUUAGGGUUAAAAUCACUGUCCAAAACCUUUGUUGGAACAAGUUUCAAACCUUUUGGAGUUAGUUAGACCAAAAAAAAAAUGAAAAAUGAAAAAAAAAAUAUUUGGGGUUUUCGGGCUUCCUGAAGGUAUUACCCGGGUAUUAGAUUAUGGGGCUAGGGAAAGGUUUAAGGUUUUUGGCGUUAGGGUUAAAAUCACUGUCCAAAACCUUUGUAGGAACAAGUUUCAAACCUUUUGGAGUUAGUUAGACCGAAAAAAAAUGAAAAAUGAAAAAAAAAUAUUUGGGGUUUUCGGGCUUCCUGAAGGUAAUACCCGGGUAUUAGGUUAUGGGGCUAGGGUAAGGUUUAAGGUUUUUGGCGUUAGGGUUAAAAUCACUGUCCAAAACCUUUGUUGGAACAAGUUUCAGACCUUUUGGAGUUAGUUACACCAAAAAAAAAGGAAAAUGAAAAAAAAAUUUUGGGGUGUUCGGGUUUCCUGAAGGUAAUACCCGGGUAUUAGGUUAUGGGGCUAAGGUUUAAGGUUUAAGGUUUUUGGCGUUAGGGUUAAAAUCACUGUCCAAAACCUUUGUUGGAACAAGUUUCAGACCUUUUGGAGUUAGUUACACCAAAAAAAAAUGAAAAAUGAAAAAAAAAAAAAUUUUGGGGGGUGUUCGGGUUUCCUGAAGGUAAUACCCGGGUAUUAGGUUAUGGGGCUUGGGUAAGGUUUAAGGUUUAAGGUUUUUGGCGUUAGGGUUAAAAUCACUGUCCAAAACCUUUGUAGGAACAAGUUUCAAACCUUUUGGAGUUAGUUAAACCAAAAAAAAGUGAAAAAUGAAAAAAAAAUAUUUGGGGUUUUUGGGCUUCCUGAAGGUAAUACCCGGGUAUUAGGUAAUGGGGCUAGGGUAAGGUUUAAGGUUUUUGGCGUUAGGGUUAAAAUCACUGUCCAAAACCUUUGUAGGAACUCUUUUCAAACCUUUUGGAGUUAGUUAGACAAAAAAAAAAAGAAAAAUGAAAAAAAAAUGUUUGGGGUGUUCGGGCUUCCUGAAGGUAAUACCCGGGUAUUAGGUUAUGGGGCUAGGUAAAGGUUUAAGGUUUUUGGCGUUAGGGUUAAAAUCACUGUCCAAAACCUUUGUAGGAACAAGUUUCAAACCUUUUGGAGUUAGUUAGACAAAAAAAAAAAAAGAAAAAUGAAAAAAAAAAUGUUUGGGGUGUUAAGGCUUCCUUAAGGUAAUACCCGGGUAUUUGGUUAUGGGGCUAGUACAAGGUUUAAGGUUUUUGGCGUUAGGGUUAAAAUCACUGUCCAAAACCUUUGUUGGAACAAGUUUCAAACCUUUUGGAGUUAGUUAGACCAAAAAAAAAAAGAUAAAUGAAAAAAAAAAUAUUGGGGGUUUUCGGGCUUCCUGAAGGUAAUACCCGGGUAUUAGGUUAUGGGGCUAGGGUAAGGUUUAAGGUUUUUGGCGUUAGGGUUAAAAUCACUGUCCAAUACUUUUUAAGGAACAUGUUUCAGACCUUUUGGAGUUAGUUAGACCAAAAAAAAUGAAAAAUGAAAAAAAAAAUUGGGGGUUUUCAGACUUCCUGAAGGUAAUACCCGUAUAAGGAUACCUGGCUAGGGUAUGGUUUAAGGUUUUUGGCGUUAGGGUUAAAAUCACUGUCCAAUAUUUUUUAAGGAACAUGUUUGAGACCUUUUGGAGUUAGUUAGACCAAAAAAAAAUGAAAAAUGAAAAAAAAAUAUUUGGGGUUUUCGGGCUUCCUGAAGGUAAUACCCGUAUUAGGUUAUGGGGUUAGGGUAAGGUUUAAGGUUUUUGGCGUUAGGGUUAAAAUCACUGUCCAAUAUUUUUUAAGGAACAUGUUUCAGACCUUUUGGAGUUAGUUAGACCAAAAAAAAAUGUAAAAUGAAAAAAAAAUAUUUGGGGUUUUCGGGCUUCCUGAAGGUAAUACCCGGGUAUUAGGUUAUGGGGCUACGGUAAGGUUUAAGGUUUUUGGCGUUAGGGUUAAAAUCAGUGUCCAAAACCUUUUUAGGAACUCUUUUCCAACCUUUUGGAGUUAGUUACACCAAAAAAAAAAGAAAAAUGAAAAAAAGAUAUUUUAGGUUUUCGGGCUUCCUGAAGGUAAUACCCGGGUAAUAGGUUAUGGGGCUAGGGAAAGGUUUAAGGUUUUUGGCGUUAGGGUUAAAAUCACUGUCCAAAACCUUUGUAGGAACUCUUUUCCAACCUUUUGGAGAUAGUUAGACCAAAAAAAAUGUAAAAAGAAAAAAAAAUAUUUGGGGUGUUCAGGCUUCCUGAAGGUAAUACCCGGGUAAUAGGUUAUGGGGCUAGGGUAAGGUUUAGGGUUUUUGGCGUUAGGGUUAAAAUCACUGUCCAAAACCUUUGAAGGAACUCUUUUCCAACGUUUUGGAGUUAGUUAGACCCAAAAGAAAUGAAAAAUGAAAAAAAAAUAUUUGGGUUUUUCAGGCUUCCUGAAGGUAAUACCCUGGUAUAAGGUUAUGGGGCUUGGGUAAGGUUUAAGGUUUUUGGCGUUAGGGUUAAAAUCACUGUCCAAAACCUUUGUAGGAACUCUUUUCCAACCUUUUGGAGUUAGUUAGACCAAAAAAAAUGAAAAAUGAAAAAAAAAUAUUUGGGGUGUUCGGGCUUCCUGAAGGUAAUACCCGGGUAUUAGGUUAUGGGGCUUGGGUAAGGUUUAAGGUUUUUGGCGUUAGGGUUAAAAUCACUGUCCAAAACCUUUGUAAACUCUUUUCCAACCUUUUGGAGUUAUUUAGACCAAAAAAAACGAAAAAUGAAAAAAAAAUAUUUGGGGUUUUCGGUCUUCCUGAAGGUAAUAGGUAUUAGAUUAUGGGGCUAGGGAAAGGUUUAAGGUUUUUGGCGUUAGGGUUAAAAUCACUGUCCAAAACCUUUUAGGAACAUUUUUCAGACCUUAUGGAGUUAGUUACACCAAAAAAAAAAUGAAAAAUGAAAAAAAAAUAUUUGGGGUGUUCGGGCUUCCUGAAGGUAAUACCCGGGUAUUAGGUUAUGGGGCUUGGGUAAGGUUUAAGGUUUUUGGCGUUAGGGUUAAAAUCACUGUCCAAAACCUUUGUAGGAACUCUUUUCCAACCUUUUGGAGUUAGUAACACCAAAAAAAAAAUUGUAAAAUGAAAAAAAAAUAUUUGGGGUGUUCGGGCUUCCUGAAGGUAAUACCCGGGUAUUAGGUUUUGGGGCUAGGGUAAGGUUAAAGGUUUUUGGUGUUAGGGUUAAAAUCACUGUCCAAAACCUUUGCAGGAACUCUUUUCCAACGUUUUGGAGUUAGUUAGACCCAAAAAAAAUGAAAAAUGAAAAAAAAAUAUUUGGGGUUUUCGGGCUUUCUGAAGGUAAUACCCGGUAUUAGGUUUUGGGACUAAUGUAAGGUUUAAGGUUUUUGGCGUUAGGGUUAAAAUCACUGUCCAAAACCUUUGUAGGAACUCUUUUCCAACCUUUUGGAGUUAGUUACACCAAAAAAAAUAUUGUAAAAUGAAAAAGAAAUAUUUGGGGUUUUCGGGCUUUCUGAAGGUAAUACCCUGGUAUAAGGUUAUGGGACUAAUGUAAGGUUUAAGGUUUUUGGCGUUAGGGUUAAAAUCACUGUCCAAAACCUUUGUAGGAACUCUUUUCCAACCUUUUGGAGUUAGUUACACCAAAAAAAAUAUUGAAAAAUGAAAAAGAAAUAUUUGGGGUGUUCGGGCUUCCUGAAGGUAAUACCCGGGUAUUAGGUUAUGGGGCUAGGGUAAGGUUUAAGGUUUUUGGCGUUAGGGUUAAAAUCACUGUCCAAAACCUUUGUAGGAACUCUUUUCCAACCUUUUGGAGUUAGUUACACCAAAAAAAAAAAAAAAAUGAAAAAAAAAUAUUUGGGGUGUUCGGGCUUCCUGAAGGUAAUACCCGGGUAUUAGGUUAUGGGGCUAGGGUAAGGUUUAAGGUUUUUGGCGUUAGGGUUAAAAUCACUGUCCAAAACCUUUGUAGGAACUCUUUUCCAACCUUUUGGAGUUAGUUAGACCAAAAAAAAAUGAAAAUGAAAAAAAAUAUUUGGGGUGUUCGGUCUUCCUGAAGGUAAUACCCGGGUAUUAGGUUAUGGGGCUAGGGUAAGGUUUAAGGUUUUUGGCGUUAGGGUUAAAAUCACUGUCCAAAACCUUUGUAGGAACUCCUUUCCAACCUUUUGGAGUUAGUUAGACCAAAAAAAAACAAAAAAUGAAAAACAAUAUUUUGGGUGUUCAGUCUUCCUGAAGGUAAUGCCCGGGUAUUAGGUUAUGGGGCUAGGGUAAGGUUUUUGGCGUUAGGGUUAAAAUCACUGUCCAAAACCUUUGUAGGAACUCCUUUCCAACCUUUUGGAGUUAGUUAAACCAAAAUAAAACAAAAAAUUAAAAACAAUAUUUUGGGUGUUCAGUCUUCCUGAAGGUAAUGCCCGGGUAUUAGGUUAUGGGGCUAGGGUAAGGUUUUUGGCGUUAGGGUUAAAAUCACUGUCCAAAACCUUUGUAGGAACUCUUUUCCAACCUUUUGGAGUUAGUUACACCAAAAAAAAAAUUGUAAAAUGAAAAAGAAAUAUUUGGGGUGUUCGGGCUUCCUGAAGGUAAUACCCGGGUAUUAGGUUAUGGGGCUAGGGUAAGGUUUAAGGUUUUUGGCGUUAGGGUUAAAAUCACUGUCCAAAACCUUUGUAGGAACUCUUUUCCAACCUUUUGGAGUUAGUUAGACCAAAAAAAAAUGAAAAAUGAAAAAAAAAUAUUUGGGGUGUUCGGGCUUCCUGAAGGUAAUACCCGGGUAUUAGGUUAUGGGGCUAGGGUAAGGUUUAAGGUUUUUGGCGUUAGGGUUAAAAUCACUGUCCAAAACCUUUGUAGGAACUCUUUUCCAACCUUUUGGAGUUAGUUACACCAAAAAAAAAAUUGUAAAAUGAAAAAGAAAUAUUUGGGGUGUUCGGGCUUCCUGAAGGUAAUACCCGGGUAUUAGGUUAUGGGGCUUGGGUAAGGUUUAAGGUUUUUGGCGUUAGGGUUAAAAUCACUGUCCAAAACCUUUGUAGGAACUCUUUUCCAACCUUAUGGAGUUAGUUACACCAAAAAAAAAUGAAAAAUGAAAAAAAAAUAUUUGGGGUGUUCGGGCUUCCUGAAGGUAAUACCCGGGUAUUAGGUUUUGGGGCUAGGGUAAGGUUUAAGGUUUUUGGCGUUAGGGUUAAAAUCACUGUCCAAAACCUUUGUAGGAACUCUUUUCCAACCUUUUGGAGUUAGUUAGACCAAAAAAAAAUGAAAAAUGAAAAAGAAAUAUUUGGGGUGUUCGGGCUUCCUGAAGGUAAUACCCGGGUAUUAGGUUUUGGGGCUAGGGUAAGGUUUAAGGUUUUUGGCGUUAGGGUUAAAAUCACUGUCCAAAACCUUUGUAGGAACUCUUUUCCAACCUUUUGGAGUUAGUUACACCAAAAAAAAUAUUGUAAAAUGAAAAAGAAAUAUUUGGGGUUUUCGGGCUUUCUGAAGGUAAUACCCUGGUAUAAGGUUAUGGGACUAAUGUAAGGUUUAAGGUUUUUGGCGUUAGGGUUAAAAUCACUGUCAAAACCUUUGUAGGAACUCUUUUCCAACCUUUUGGAGUUAGUUAGACCAAAAAAAGAAAAAAAAAAGGAACAAGAAAUAUUUCGGGUGUUCGGGCUUCCUGCAGGUAAUACCCAGGUAUUAGGUCAUGGGGCUAGGGUAAGGUUAAAGGUUUUUGGCGUUAGGGUUAAAAUCACUGUCCAAAACCUUUGUAGGAACUCUUUUCCAACCUUUUGGAGUUAGUUACACCAAAAAAAAAAAUGAAAAAAAAAUAUUUGGGGUGUUCGGUCUUCCUGAAGGUUAUACCCGGGUAUUAGGUUAUGGGGCUAGGGUAAGGUUUUUGGCGUUAGGGUUAAAAUCACUGUCCAAAACCUUUGUAGGAACUCUUUUCCAACCUUUUGGAGUUAGUUAGACCAGAAAAAAAUGAAAAAUGAAAAAAAAAAUAUUUGGGGUUUUCGGUCUUUCUGAAGGUAACACCCGGGUAUUAGGUUUUGGGGCUAGGGUAAGGUUUAAGGUUUUUGGCGUUAGGGUUAAAAUCACUGUCCAAAACCUUUGUAGGAACUCCUUUCCAACCUUUUGGAGUUAGUUAAACCAAAAAAAAAUUGAAAUAUGAAAAAGAAAUAUUUGGGGUGUUCGGGCUUCCUGCAGGUAAUACCCAGGUAUUAGGUUAUGGGGCUUUGGUAAGGUUUAAGGUUUUUGGCAUUAUGGUUAAAAUCACUGUCCAAAACCUUUGUAGGAACUCUUUUCCAACCUUUUGGAGUUAGUUAGACCUAAAAAAAAACGAAAAAUGAAAAAAAAAUAUUUGGGGUGUUCGGGCUUCCUGAAGGUAAUACCCGGGUAUUAGGUUAUGGGGCUAGGGUAAGGUUUAAGGAUUUUGGCGUUAGGGUUAAAAUCACUGUCCAAAACCUUUGUAGGAACUCUUUUCCAACGUUUUGGAGUUAGUUAGACCAAAAAAAAAUGAAAAAUGAAAAAAAAAUAUUUGGGGUUUUCGGGCUUCCUGAAGGUAAUACCCGGGUAUUAGGUUAUGGGGCUACGGUAAGGUUUAAGGUUUUUGGCGUUAGAGUUAAAAUCAGUGUCCAAAACCUUUUUAGGAACUCUUUUCCAACCUUUUGGAGUUAGUUACACCAAAAAAAAAAGAAAAAUGAAAAAAAGAUAUUUUAGGUUUUCGGGCUUCCUGAAGGUAAUACCCGGGCCUUAGGUUAUGGGGCUAGGGAAAGGUUUAAGGUUUUUGGCGAUAGGGUUAAAAUCACUGUCCAAAACCUUUGUAGGAACUCUUUUCCAACCUUUUGGAGAUAGUUAGACCAAAAAAAAUGUAAAAAGAAAAAAAAAUAUUUGGGGUGUUCAGGCUUCCUGAAGGUAAUACCCGGGUAAUAGGUUAUGGGGCUAGGGUAAGGUUUAGGGUUUUUGGCGUUAGGGUUAAAAUCACUGUCCAAAACCUUUGAAGGAACUCUUUUCCAACGUUUUGGAGUUAAAUAGACCCAAAAGAAAUGAAAAAUGAAAAAAAAAUAUUUGGGUUUUUCGGGUUUCCUGAAGGUAAUACCCUGGUAUAAGGUUUUGGGACUAAUGUAAGGUUUAAGGUUUUUGGCGUUAGGGUUAAAAUCACUGUCCAAAACCUUUGUAGGAACUCUUUUCCAACCUUUUGGAGUUAGUUAGACCAGAAAAAAAUGAAAAAUGAAAAAAAAAUGUUUGGGGUGUUCGGGCUUCCUGAAGGUAAUACCCGGGUAUUAGGUUAUGGGGCUUGGGUAAGGUUUAAGGUUUUUGGCGUUAGGGUUAAAAUCACUGUCCAAAACCUUUGUAACACUCUUUUCCAACCUUUUGGAGUUAUUUAGACCAAAAAUAAACGAAAAAUGAAAAAAAAAAUAUUUGGGGUGUUCGGGCUUCCUGAAGGUAAUACCCGGGUAUUAGGUUAUGGGGCUAGGGUAAGGUUUAAGGUUUUUGGCGUUAGGGUUAAAAUCACUGUCCAAAACCUUUGUAGGAACUCUUUUCCAACCUUUUGGAGUUAGUUAGACCGGAAAAAAAAUGAAAAAUGAAAAAAAAAUAUUUGGGGUGUUCGGGCUUCCUGAAGGUAAUACCCGGGUAUUAGGUUAUGGGGCUAGGGUAAGGUUUAAGGUUUUUGGCGUUAGGGUUAAAAUCACUGUCCAAAACCUUUGUAGGAACUCUUUUCCAACCUUUUGGAGUUAGUUAGACCAAAAAAAAAAACGAAAAAUGAAAAAAAAAUAUUUGGGGUGUUCAGUCUUCCUGAAGGUAAUACCCGGGUAUUAGGUUAUGGGGCUUUGGUAAGGUUUAAGGUUUUUGGCAUUAUGGUUAAAAUCACUGUCCAAAACCUUUGUAGGAACUCUUUUCCAACCUUUUGGAGUUAGUUACACCAAAAAAAAAAUUGUAAAAUGAAAAAAAAAUAUUUGGGGUUUUCGGGCUUUCUGAAGGUAAUACCCGGGUAUUAGGUUUUGGGGCUAGGGUAAGGUUUAAGGUUUUUGGCGUUAGGGUUAAAAUCACUGUCCAAAACCUUUGUAGGAACUCCUUUCCAACCUUUUGGAGUUAGUUAAACCAAAAAAAAAAUUAAAAUAUGAAAAAGAAAUAUUUGGGGUGUUCGGGCUUCCUGCAGGUAAUACCCAGGUAUUAGGUUAUGGGGCUUUGGUAAGGUUUAAGGUUUUUGGCAUUAUGGUUAAAAUCACUGUCCAAAACCUUUGUAGGAACUCUUUUCCAACGUUUUGGAGUUAGUUAGACCCAAAAGAAAUGAAAAAUGAAAAAAAAAUAUUUGGGGUUUUCGGGCUUUCUGAAGGUAAUACCCGGGUAUUAGGUUUUGGGGCUAGGGUAAGGUUUAAGGUUUUUGGCGUUAGGGUUAAAAUCACUGUCCAAAACCUUUGUAGGAACUCCUUUCCAACCUUUUGGAGUUAGUUAAACCAAAAAAAAAAUUGAAAUAUGAAAAAGAAAUAUUUGGGGUGUUCGGGCUUCCUGCAGGUAAUACCCAGGUAUUAGGUUAUGGGGCUUUGGUAAGGUUUAAGGUUUUUGGCAUUAUGGUUAAAAUCACUGUCCAAAACCUUUGUAGGAACUCUUUUCCAACCUUUUGGAGUUAGUUAGACCUAAAAAAAACGAAAAAUGAAAAAAAAAUAUUUGGGGUGUUCGGGCUUCCUGAAGGUAAUACCCGGGUAUUAGGUUAUGGGGCUAGGGUAAGGUUUAAGGA